AGUUGGUGUUAUUUGAUCAUUCACAAGAAUUAAGAAAAUUUACAAUAUGGUUUUGUGGAAAAUUAUAGGAACCCACUUGGUAAAAAAAUGAAAACUUUGAAGAUCUAUAGCAUUAUAUACGAUGUUUAAAGGAAUCUUCGAAACUUACACGUGUAGAGAAACCAAGAUAAGGUGAAGUUGAAGUCGGAGAUGACAAUCAUUAUAGUUCAGGUGGCAGUGGCAGUUUAGAAUACAAUAACUUGACCGUUUAUUUUGGAACAAUAAGUGAAACGACCAUGACAUUAGCCAUAAUAGAAAAACUUGGCAAGCUGACCAACCAUCGGUGCAAGAAGAAAAUGUUAGAUUCAUCUCUUCAGCUUGAUAAUCUCUUCAGCUGGAUAAUCUCUUCAGCUGGACAAGGAUGAUGUCCUUAAAAUAUUUAAAAUUAUUUGAUAUCCGAAUUAAAAGGACAUGUUAAAAUGGUUAAAUAGUAUUAUCCGAGGAUAUUGUAAAUUGUUAAUUCCAUAACAAAUUAUUAAGACAAAAGAAAAAAAACAUAGAUUGAACACUCCUGGAUAACUUUUAUAUUGUGUUGUUUUAAUAAUUUCAAGACAGACUGUCAGCUUGAAAGAACUGGGCAUUUUGUUAAUGUAGUGUACAAACGAAAUAUGAUCAACUGGAUGAUCCAUAGCCUGCAUAAACGAAAUAGGAGGGUGACGCAAUAAACGGAAGGAUUCAUACUCUGAAAUCGCAUAAUAGGAGGGUCUGGCAAUACGCUUUGGGAGAUUCGUAGACUGUAGCAGUGAUAGACGAUAGGAGAAUAAAAAAAGAAGUGAACAAGUUGAGUUUAUUGACUAGAAUUGCUUUAAAUUUUAUAAUGGUGAAUGACAUUUUCUAAUUUGUUAUAAUGAUUUUUUUUACAAGAAGGAACAUUAAAUUAAGUGAACUUUCUGUGUUUAACAAAUGGGGAAAAAAAUGUAAAAAUAUUACAAGUUUCUAUGUUUGUUGGAGGAAAUUUUGAAUGAUUUCAUAUACUUGGAAGAAAUUUCUUCCAACUUGAGAGAGGAUGAAAAUUAUCAUAAGUUAAGUUUAUUAACUAAAAUUGCCUACUUUAUUAAAAAUGAUUUUCCUAAAUUUCUUACAAGAAGGAACAUUAAAUAAAGUGAACUAUCUGUGUUAAACAAAUUGAAAUAAAUAUGUAACUGUAUCAAAUGUUUCUAUAUUUGAUGGGAGAAAUUUUAAAUGGUUUGAUAUUACUUGGAAGAAAUUUCUUCCAACUUGAGAGAGGGUGAAAAAGAGGCAAGUUGAGUUUAUUAACUAAAAUUGACCACUUUUUUAGGAUUGAAUUUUCUAAUUAGUUGGAAGAAAUUUCUUCCAAGAAGGAAUAUUAAAUGAAGUGAACUAUCUGUGUUAAAACAAUGAAAUCAGUAUGUAAAUGUAUCAAAUGUUUCUAUAUUUGAUGGGAGAAAUUUAGAAUGGUUAGAUAUUACUUGGAAGAAAUUUCUUCCAACUUGAGAGAGGAUGAAUAUGAAGAGAACACGUUGACUUUACUAACUAAACUUGUAUACUAUAUUGGAGUAAAAUACAUUUUCUAAUUAGUUGGAAGAAAUUUCUUUCAAAAAGACAGGAAAGUUUUAUGAACCAAAUGUA